rnacentral:rRNA from 1 species
GCGCAGCAGGCGAGAAACCUCCCCAAUGCCCGAAAGGGUGAGGGGGUCACCCCGAGUGCCACCCUCGUGGUGGCUUUUGCGGGGUCUAAAAAGCCCCGCGAAUAAGGGGAGGGCAAGACGGGUGUCAGCCGCCGCGGUAAUACCCGCUCCCCGAGUGGUGGGGACUAUUACUGGGCUUAAAGCGUCCGUAGCCGGCUGGGUGUGUCCCCCGUUAAAUCCACGGGCCUAACCCGUGGGCUGCGGGGGAUACUACCUGGCUUGGGGGUGGGAGAGGGCGGCGGUAUUCCCGGGGUAGGGGUAAAAUCCUCUGAUCCCGGGGAGGGACCACCAGUGGCGAAGGCGGCCGCCCAGAACACGCCCGACGGUGAGGGACGAAAGCUGGGGGA